AGCAGCCGCGGUAAUUCCAGCUCCAAUAGCGUAUAUUAAAGUUGUUGCAGUUAAAAAGCUCGUAGUUGAAUUUCGGGACUAAUAUGUCGGUCGUGCCUCGGUACGAACUGGUUUAUUGGUUUCUCCUUUCUGAAGAACCAUGAUGUCAUUUAUUUGGUGUCGUGGGGAAUCAGGACUGUUACUUUGAAAAAAUUAGAGUGUUUAAAGCAGGCUCACGCUUGAAUACAUUAGCAUGGAAUAAUGAAAUAGGACGUUUGAUUCUAUUUUGUUGGUUUCUAGGAUCGACGUAAUGAUUAAUAGGGAUAGUUGGGGGCAUUAGUAUUCAAUUGUCAGAGGUGAAAUUCUUGGAUUUAUUGAAGACUAACUACUGCGAAAGCAUUUGCCAAGGAUGUUUUCAUUAAUCAAGAACGAAAGUUAGGGGAUCGAAGACGAUCAGAUACCGUCGUAGUCUUAACCAUAAACUAUGCCGACUAGGGAUCGGAUGAUGUUAAUUUUUUAAUGACUCAUUCGGCGCCUUACG
rnacentral:rRNA from 1 species